UGUGUAUGUGCUGAUUAGGCAGUGUAUUGUUAGUUAGCUGUUGUUCACAUACCAGCAACUAAAUACGCUUCCACAUUAGCACACGACCUUGCAU
rnacentral:pre_miRNA from 2 species